ACUCCUACGGGAGGCAGCAGUGGGGAAUAUUGCACAAUGGGCGCAAGCCUGAUGCAGCCAUGCCGCGUGUGUGAAGAAGGCCUUCGGGUUGUAAAGCACUUUCAGUCGUGAGGAAGGUAGUGUAGUUAAUAGCUGCAUUAUUUGACGUUAGCGACAGAAGAAGCACCGGCUAACUUCGUGCCAGCAGCCGCGGUAAUACGAAGGGUGCAAGCGUUGUUCGGAUUUAUUGGGCGUAAAGCGCGCGCAGGCGGAUUGUUAAGUCAGAUGUGAAAUCUCGGGGCUCAACCCCGAAACUGCGUCUGAAACUGCCAAUCUAGAAUCUCAGAGGGGAGGGGAAUUUCACAUGUAGGGUAAAAUCCGUAGAGAUGUGAAGGAACACCAGAGGCGAAGGCGCCCUCCUGGAUGAGUAUUGACGCUGAGGCGCGAAAGCGUGGGUAGCAAACAGGAUUAGAUACCCUGGUAGC
rnacentral:rRNA from 1 species